rnacentral:rRNA from 1 species
GACGAACGCUGGCGGCGUGCCUAAUACAUGCAAGUAGAACGCUGAAGGAGGAGCUUGCUUCUCUGGAUGAGUUGCGAACGGGUGAGUAACGCGUAGGUAACCUGCCUGGUAGCGGGGGAUAACUAUUGGAAACGAUAGCUAAUACCGCAUAAGAUUGACUAUUGCAUGAUAGUCAGUUAAAAGGUGCAAUUGCAUCACUACCAGAUGGACCUGCGUGGUAUUAGUUAGUUGGUGGGGUAACGGCUCACAAAGGCGACGAUACGUAGCCGACCUGGGAGGGGGACCGCCAAACUGGGACUGAAGACACGCCCAGGAUUCCUAGGGGGGGCACAGGAAGGGAUCUUUGGGAAAUGACCGAAGUCUUGCCGGAGAAAGGCGGGUGGGUGGAAAAGGUUUUUCGGACCGAAAGCUCUGUUGUAAGAGAAGAACGAGUGUGAGAGUGGAAAGUUCACACUGUGACGGUAUCUUACCAGAAAGGGACGGCUAACUACGUG